CUUCGUUGACCAAAGCAAGCCACAUGGCCAUUCUAACUUCAAACGGACCCACUCAACUUCUCCAAGUGGGUGUCUGAAAGCUUGAAGAAGAUACCCAAAGUGGUAUUAUUAAUGCAUCUUGAAAACUCACAUCAUCUGACUCAUCCUAAUUUUCAUACUGGAUCUCCUAUGAAGAGACAUGUGACCAAAAAACCUGUAAAUAGAGUUACAACGUGAGACUUUGAAAAUGAAAUAAUGUCAUCUAAUUAUAGAUAGAAAACUGUGUGAGUGAUGAAAAUGAGUCUCAUGGGAACAACUGUUUCAAGAACACAUCAUCUGUGAAAUUUCCUUGGGGCCUAAACCACCCUCAUUAAUUUUAGAGUUAAGUACUCGAAAUAGCACUGUUUGUCUAUGUUGAGAUUCAUAUGAACUUGUCACAUGGAAAUAAAAAAAGAUAGAGAUAAGUUUUGUUGGGUAACCCCCAUUGUCCUAAUUAUUCCCUAAGAAACAUGUUUUCAGAUGGCUAUGGGAGCAAAUCAACAUACGCAGAAAUGGUUAAAUUCUGACUUGGAAUUCCAUGGGAAUUAGCAGGCUGUAGACGAGGUUCUGGCCGAGAAUGUCAUGGUUGGACCAAGACUUCCCAUGGGGCUGCUGUUUGUGGCCAGUUUCUUGUUUUUAUUUAUCCAAUGUGUACAUAUGCCCAGAAGCUAUUUGUAAUGGGAGUGUUUUAAGAAAUUCAUAAAUUUAAAACACUCCACACAUACAAAACUCUUUCUGAAAUGUGACAUCUUAAAAUUAUUUUCUCAAAGUGACAUAAAAUAAAACAGCGUAACAGCCAUCUCUUUGUAAUAUGCUCUCUUAUAUUUAAUUUUUAUUAAUCUUCACCUAAAUACUAGAUAACAUCAUGAAGAGAGCAAAAUAAACUGGCCAUCUCAGUUUAAAUGGCCAACAGUCAUCUUUUGAUGUUUAUUUCUUUGAAACAAAAUGCACCCUACAUUUUAUUUUGGAGCAAACAGUCAUCAGAAGUAAUGUGAAUUUGUAUGUUUUGACAAAAAGUUUUACAUAUAUGAUUUAAAAGGUGUUUAUGUAAUAUGAAUUAACUUGUGUACAAAAGAGAUACAGAUUUUUCAAAGAGCAAGCAUCUGAAUGUUAAGAACUGAGUUCAUUGAGGUUAAAUUGUUCUCAGGAAGUUUAAGGUAAAAAAGAAAGAAAAAGAUUGUACUUCUCCUAUGGCAGGAAGAGGCUCAUUUCCAGGGUAGAGACUUCUGAAAUCCAUAAAAUACAUUCCAGAUCCAAGACUUCAUGCAUCAUACCUGGACACUGCUGUCAUAGAGAGAGACUUGUGAGUGGUUUCCUUUCAUUUACUGAAUAGAGAUAAAAAUGCCCAAAGCAUAUGUGAGGGACAAAUUUUAAAAAUUAAUUUAAAAAUUCUGUUCUGUUUAACACUAAUAAUCUCUAAUGUAUCCAACUUUUCAAUUAUUGAAAAUCCAAAAGUCAAAUGUGGAGCAAACCUUGAAACAUAGAGCAGUAAUGAAUAUCUGCUGCCAAUAGCAAAAUAUUCACCAAAAUUCAAGCAGAAGGUGAAUGUGACUGAAUGAGAGGUCCUUAAGCUUUUUCAUGCCAUGGACCCUUUGGUAGUCUGGCUAACGUUUCUAAUAAAACAAAACACAGGCUUAUAAAGAAAAUCAAUCAUAUGGAAAUGAAUGUUGAUCACAAUAUUUAAAGAAAUACCAAGUUUGUGAUGUAGUAAUAUUUGUGUCUUUAUUAAUGCUAUAAAAGGCAAGAAUGAACAGGAGGCUUGAUAUUGACUCCUUUUUGAAGUAGGAUGAGCAUAAAUGAUACAUUGAAAUAUCUGCAAAGUUAUAAUGUGAUAUGAAAGUGUCUGUAAUUUUUAUUCCUGGCAAUGUGAUAGAAACUGCUAGUAAUACUGUGGUUUGUUGAAAGAAAUGCUACAUUUCAGAUAAGAUUAGUGAAAUUGAAGAUAUAAUUUUUUUCUAUUCAACUUCAUGGAAUCUGAAGAACGUAGGUUAGAAAGCCCUGAUGUAAAUGUACAAUGCAAGGUCAUGGCCAUAAAUGUAUAGUUUCACAUAUUUGCCUUUGGUCAAGAUUUUGUCUAAUAUCUUGGUUAUUUUAGCCAGUGAGUAGUAUUUACCACAUGGGUUUUCACUACAAAGAGGUUAAAAAUAAAACAGCA
rnacentral:lncRNA from 10 species